rnacentral:rRNA from 1 species
UGCAAGUCGAACGAUGAACCACUUCGGUGGGGAUUAGUGGCGAACGGGUGAGUAACACGUGGGCAAUCUGCCCUGCACUCUGGGACAAGCCCUGGAAACGGGGUCUAAUACCGGAUACUGACCCGCUUGGGCAUCCAGGCGGUUCGAAAGCUCCGGCGGUGCAGGAUGAGCCCGCGGCCUAUCAGCUAGUUGGUGAGGUAAUGGCUCACCAAGGCGACGACGGGUAGCCGGCCUGAGAGGGCGACCGGCCACACUGGGACUGAGACACGGCCCAAACUCCUACGGGAGGCAGCAGUGGGGAAUAUUGCACAAUGGGCGAAAGCCUGAUGCAGCGACGCCGCGUGAGGGAUGACGGCCUUCGGGUUGUAAACCUCUUUCAGCAGGGAAGAAGCGAAAGUGACGGUACCUGCAGAAGAAGCGCCGGCUAACUACGUGCCAGCAGCCGCGGUAAUACGUAGGGCGCGAGCGUUGUCCGGAAUUAUUGGGCGUAAAGAGCUCGUAGGCGGCUUGUCACGUCGGUUGUGAAAGCCCGGGGCUUAACCCCGGGUCUGCAGUCAAUACGGGCAGGGUAGAGUUCGGUAGGGGAGAUCGGAAUUCAUGGUGUAGCGGUGAAAUGCGCAGAUAUCAGGAGGAACACCGGUGGCGAAGGCGGAUCUCUGGGCCGAUACUGACGCUGAGGAGCGAAAGCGUGAGGAGCGAACAGGAUUAGAUACCCUGGUAGUCCACGCCGUAAACGGUGGGCACUAGGUGUGGGCGACAUUCCACGUCGUCCGUGCCGCAGCUAACGCAUUAAGUGCCCCGCCUGGGGAGUACGGCCGCAAGGCUAAAACUCAAAGGAAUUGACGGGGGCCCGCACAAGCGGCGGAGCAUGUGGCUUAAUUCGACGCAACGCGAAGAACCUUACCAAGGCUUGACAU